UACGUAGGGUGCAAGCGUUGUCCGGAAUUAUUGGGCGUAAAGAGCUCGUAGGCGGUCUGUCGCGUCGGCUGUGAAAACUCGGGGCUCAACCCCGAGCCUGCAGUCGAUACGGGCAGACUAGAGUGCUGUAGGGGAGACUGGAAUUCCUGGUGUAGCGGUGAAAUGCGCAGAUAUCAGGAGGAACACCGGUGGCGAAGGCGGGUCUCUGGGCCGAUGCUGACGCUGGAGGAGCGAAAAGCGUGGGGAGCGAACAGG
rnacentral:rRNA from 1 species